rnacentral:rRNA from 1 species
UACGAAGGGGGCUAGCGUUGUUCGGAAUUACUGGGCGUAAAGGGAGCGUAGGCGGACGACUAAGUCAGAGGUGAAAGCCCAGGGCUCAACCCUGGAAUUGCCUUUGAUACUGACUGUCUUGAGUACGGGAGAGGUGUGUGGAACUCCGAGUGUAGAGGUGAAAUUCGUAGAUAUUCGGAAGAACACCAGUGGCGAAGGCGACACACUGGCCCGUUACUGACGCUGAGGCGCGAAAGCGUGGGGAGCAAACAGG